rnacentral:ribozyme from 13 species
CAAGAAAGGAAACAAGUGAGAAAAAGAAAAAAAUGUUUGAAGAUUCAAAUUUGUCGUAAUUUUUUGUGUAUUUCUUCAAUCUCUC